UAUGGACGUUUUAAGGUCGAAAGGUCAGUGGGCUAGGCCCAACUCGGGAUCAACCGAGUUGGCCCAAAAAAAAUAAAAACGAAUUAAGGCCCAAAGAGAGAAGGGUGGCCGGCCAAGCCUAAGGCCCAAACCAUGAUUCUAAUAUUUCCCAUGUGCUAAAAUGAAUAUAAGGGUCAUUUAUCCAUUAGAAAGUUCUUGAAACAUAGAAGAGAAAAACAAAGCAACAAGAAGAGCAAAUUAGAAGGCCAUACACGGCCAUGACCCAAGAAAAUUCACCCCUUAAAAUCUUCUCCCAAAAAUUAUUUUCUUGUGGUAUUCCUACUAAUUCAAGGGUCCUUUACAACUUGGUGUAAUUAUUUUGGAAGAAAGAGCACUUGUUUCUUCAAGUUGACAACUUGGUCAAGUGAAAAAGAUUGUAGAAAAAGAUUUUGGCGAACUUGAAACUUGAUUUUGGAGACGUGUAUGAAGCGGAAAAGGUCAGCAGACAGGUGGACGUGAUCCUUAGAAGCUCUACCAGCCGUACUUGACAGCGCUCCAGUUGUUCCGGAGCCUCACUCCAGCGGUACUAUUUUAUGCAUAUACAUUCGGGCUUGGUAGCACCCCGGCCCUUUCUAUGUAUAAGUGUACUAUGUCUAGAGGCUCGUAGACAGAUACGUACAGUCAGUCAGGUACAGAUAUAUGUAUAGUGUUUUGGCAUGUUAAUAUUGUUGUACAAGGUAAUAA